GCACGUAGAUUAAUUUUUUAAUAAUAAUUAAUAUUUAAAGUAUGUUAAUUUUUAAUAGAGAAGGUCCUAUUUUUUCAUUUAGCUCUAGGUCUAAAAAAUGUCAGGACCGGCCCUGGAUGGCGGUGAUGGUAACAUUGUCUCUCUAGUCGAUAUCGAUUGAGAGGUCAUUGGUCGAGAGGAUGGGUGCCCCAUGGGAUGCCGCUAGUGCCC
rnacentral:lncRNA from 1 species